UAAGGUUUGGUGACUUUUAUUCAAACAAAAACAGGAAAUUACAGCAAUAGGGGGGUUUAUAUGCACCUUGCAGAUGUACUUGCAUACAGUUAGGAAAAAAUAAAGUGCAAUUGUGAAAAAGACAUGCACUUUCAAUGAAUUGUUCCUGUUUUGCAUUCAUUUCUGAACCCUUUAUACUCUCAGAACUACUACAAAAUAGAUUAUUUUCUUUCUGAAUUCUUUUGUCUGCAAAGAUGUGCACACAAGUUUCUCAGAUGCACAUAUUUAAGAGUAUAGUUUCCUCAAACUAUUUGUUUUUAAUAUUCUACCAAAACACAGAGAGUGUCAGAAAUCCUCAAAUGCAAACAGCUGCAAGAAAGUGAACAUUUAGUAUCUUGGCUUGAAAACAAAUCCAUUAUUAAGAUAAAGUGUUGGAAUCAGUCAAACUGUUUUGUUAAACAUGCAGAGCACACAAACGCAGGAUGUUGUCAGCCGCACACUUUCCUCUAACAUGGAAAUUGCCUGAGCGGUAAAACAAGAUCUCAGAGUGAUUUCUUUUAAGUGCAUAUGCAGGCUAAGAGAGUUUUCUAGCUGAGGGCUAAACAGAGAAAAGACAAAAAUGACAUGGAUUUCACCGUCGAAUCCCUUUAGCGGGCGGCUGACACAUGAAUGAGGGCAAAGAGAGAGAAAGGAGAGAAAGAGGGGGAGGGAGAGAAAAAAAAGAGUAGACAACCAAUUUGGGAGUAAUGCAACUAAAAACUGACAAGUGUAAUUUCAUCCAUCUGGGCCGAUGUGUAAAAAGCGCUGCUCCAAACAUUCCCCAUGAUUCCCCCUGAUUGAUCUUCCCCUGGUCUGAAACACCUAUUAUUAGCCACGAGCCUAAUAGCACCAGGAUGGCUCAGCGCUCUCCCAGGGGCCAAUUCUCCGGUCAUCUGCCCCUCACUCACCACAGCUGUGGAAACCAACCAGAGAGAGGGAGGGAGGAGGAGAUGGAGCUGCCAAGAGGGGAUGGAGGCGUACCUAAAAGGGGGUGUAGGGGGGGACGGUGUGGGGUUAGGGAGAGGGAGCGAGGUUGAGGGGGAGAGGAAGAGAGGGGUAGAGUGGGUAUGAAGAGGAAUAUGGAGAGGAGAGGGGAGAGAAGAGGGGACCA